UAUUUGGUAUAAUUAUAGCGCCAAGAAUUUUGUUUUCAGUCUUUUAAAACUUACGAAUUUUAAAAUCUUGUUAAUGUCAGCUUUCUUCUUUAAAUUCAUAUGAACAUUGUCAUCAUCCCCCCAAAAAAUGUCAUUGAUGUAAUAGGAUUAUUUUGUACCAUAUUUCAUACAUAUCUAAGUACGUUGCUUACCUGUUGAGACUGAGUUGUUUUUUUGUUUGUAUUCUGUAUUCGGUAUAUUGGAUGAUUUGUUUUAUAUUCUAAUAUUACCCAGAGUCCAUCCUUUGCUAAUUUCUGUUUAGAUUACAUGUAUAUCUAAACAGUUAAAAUUGUUCUAAAAUCACUUAAAUCAGUUUUUAUUUUUUCAAUUGAGAUCAUUUUGUAAAUUGAUAAUUUUUUUAUUUUGUUUUUUAAUUUUAUGAUUUUAAUGAUUUCAAAGACCCAUUGAAAGACUUAAGCAGAGAUCUCUUUUAUAUACUUUCUUUUUACAUAAAAACCAUUUCAGUUUUUGCAAGAAAAAUAUAAAUUGCACAUGUAGCAAACAAUAACUGUGGUCAUUAUUUUGUUCCUUGUUACCUUGGUAAUGACCUUGACCUCAAGAUUACCUUGAUCCAUACCUGAAUAUUUAUUCAGUAUCUGUCUAGAAUGGAAACAUAUCUCUGGUUACCUGAUAUUUCUGUUGUGAAAUCCUUGAGAACAGACAGACAGACAGACCAACCAAAUAUUGCCUUUUUUGAUCUCAGUAAGCUGUAUCUUGCUUUAUUGAUACAAAAACUGUUUACCACCCACUGGAAUCGAACUUAAGCGCUGCAAGUUAGUUCACUCAGUUAAAACAUAGUCUACUUCUGGUAGUUCAUAUACUAGCAUAAAAAAAUGUGAAUCUGAAUGAAAAGUAAAGAUUAAAGUCUGUGCACUAUAGUAUACUGUUCAGGUGUUGACUUGCCCAGCACUUGUUUCUUGUUAUACAUGUACAUGUAUGUCAUUAGGUCAUCUUUUAGAAGCUGUUUGCCUUCUCCUGACUCUGUCUUAUUACCGUACCUGUGGGUUGAUAGGUUGUGUACAAAAACACUGUAUUUAAGAAAAAAGAUAAUUUGCAGAAUGAAAAAGAUUUUUAAAGAUUUCUCUGGAUUAGAACUUGAGCAUUGUUCUGUGGCCUCAUUCUGGGAAUGAACCUGUAAAUAUUAAGAAAAAAAAAGAGCAGGGGUCAACCAAAAUGAUUGAAGAGAUUGUUGGGGAGGGGGACAGGGUUUGUACCUUAUUGAAUUAAGCAGGUUCAUUCCACUUGAUAUGAUGUCAAAUAAUGUGAACAAAUCCUGAUGAAUUGGAAUCAAGCGUUGAAUUAUCAGACGGAGCAAGGUCUGAACACCUUGAUAUCUGUGUGGAGUUGUGUAUGAUACAUGUAUAAGUAGUCCUGUGAGCUUUUUAAUGUAAAUGUUUAAUAUAUCUGAAAUAUUGUUAUUAAGAUUGUUACAUUGACAGAAUGUUGUGCAGAGAGAGAGAGAGAAAGAGAGAAUAUCAGUGGAUUGUUACAGAAUCGAAGUGCAAGAGGAAUGGUUUUACAGUCAGUAGUGACUUGUAUGUAUGAAUGGCUUGGUCAGUCAUUUCUAUACUGUCUGUAGUGUGAUAUACACGUCUAUUGUACUAAUUAUCAAUGAUAUCAAACGAAUAAACAAUGAAGA
rnacentral:sRNA from 1 species